rfam:Microcoleus sp. PCC 7113, complete genome.
AUUCUACUAAAACGUUGGUGACUGCCAAUAGUGUUUUUUGAUCUUGACUUUAUGAAAAAGGGAACCAAGUCGUCUUGUGGCAGUAGACCGGGCAUGUACUCGGAAACUUUAAACGAGAUACCCACGGUACCCCCCUGGUAAUCCAGGUCAUAAACUGAGGUAAAACGGCGUUUCGGGGAAUCU